UACGGAAGGCAGCAGUGGGGAAUAUUGCACAAUGGGCGCAAGCCUGAUGCAGCCAUGCCGCGUGUAUGAAGAAGGCCUUCGGGUUGUAAGGUACUUUCAGUCGUGAGGAAGGUGUUAAGGUUAAUAACCUUAGCAAUUGACGUUAGCGACAGAAGAAGCACCGGCUAACUCCGUGCCAGCAGCCGCGGUAAUACGGAGGGUGCGAGCGUUAAUCGGAAUUACUGGGCGUAAAGGGCACGCAGGCGGUUAAUUAAGUUGGAUGUGAAAUCCCCGGGCUUAACCUGGGAAUGGCAUUCAAGACUGGUUAGCUAGAGUCUUGUAGAGGGGGUAGAAUUCCGAUGUGUAGCGGUGAAAUGCGUAGAGAUGUGGAGGAAUACCGGUGGCGAAGGCGGCCCCUGGGACAAAGGCUGACGCUCAUGUGCGAAAGCGUGGGGAGCGAAACAGGGAUU
rnacentral:rRNA from 1 species